UUCGAGUGGCGGACGGGUGAGUAACGCGUGGGUAACCUGCCUUACACAGGGGGAUAACACCUGGAAACAGGUGCUAAUACCGCAUAAGCGCACAGGGCCGCAUGGCCCGGUGUGAAAAACUCCGGUGGCGUAAGAUGGACCCGCGUCUGAUUAGCUUGUUGGCGGGGUAGGGGCCCACCAAGGCGACGAUCAGUAGCCGGCCUGAGAGGGUGGACGGCCACAUUGGGACUGAGACACGGCCCAAACUCCUACGGGAGGCAGCAG
rnacentral:rRNA from 1 species